AUUGAACGCUGGCGGCAGGCCUAACACAUGCAAGUCGAGCGAGCGGCGGACGGGUGAGUAAUGUAUGGGGACUGCCCGAUAGAGGGGGAUAACUACUGGAAACGGUGGCUAAUACCGCAUACUAUCGGAUAACCCAUAUGGGAUUAGCUAGUGGGUGGGGUAAAGGCUCACCUAGGCGACGAUCCCUAGCUGGUCGGAGAGGAUGAUCAGCCACACUGGAACUGAGACACGGCCCAGAAUCCUACGGAGGCAGCAGUGGGGAAUGUUGAACAAUGGGAGCAAGCCGGAUGCAGACAUGCCGCGUGUAUGAAGAAGGCCUUAGGGUUGUAAAGGACUUUAAGCGGGGAGGCGUUACCCGCAGAAGAAGCACCGGCUAACUCCGUGCCAGCAGCCGCGGUAAUUC
rnacentral:rRNA from 1 species